GUUUGCAGAAUGGAAAACACCUUGCAGCGGAAAUUAUUUUCACUUCUACGUGAAAAUCUAGCCAGAAAACUGACCUGUCAAAUAUAAGAAACAGAGUGCUAUUCCAGCUUUGAUGAACUAUAAAGUAAUGGUUUGAAUUUGAAAAGCUUUAUUUAUAUUAGACAGGGAUGAUGACCUGCAGUGAGACAGCAGUAGAAAGUUACAUAUAACUCAUCAUGACCAUUAUGGAAGAUCAGAUCAGAUGAAAAUUAUGUUUAGAAAGCCACCAAAUAUGUCUAUGAAAAGUAGAAAAAAGGCAGCAAUUCUAUGUAAAGUACU